rnacentral:snRNA from 1 species
GUGCUCGCUUCGGUAGCACAUGAGCUAAAAUGGGAAUGAUACAGAGAAGAUUAGCACGGCCUCUGUGCAAGGAUGACGUGCUAGUUUGUGAAGCGGUCUGUAUUUUU